UUUCCUAUUAGUUUGCUGCUCUAGUGUAUCAGUGAUAGGAGCAGUUAUACACAUGAUAAAACAAUGUUGGGCCAUUGUACAUGGAGAUGAAAUGUGUACAUGGUCUAAACAUUG